rnacentral:lncRNA from 1 species
UAUACCGGAAGGGGUGCAGUUCAUCUCCUACCUUUUAGUCUAGUAGUUGCAUUCCUCUUAUCCUACUGCAAGGUGCUUAUGGUCUAGAUCCAGUGGAAGCGCCCCGAUUACCUACGUAAUCCUCCUUACCUCGCUCGCUCGGGGUACCCUCGAAUCAUCAUAGAAAGAUGAGAAUGAGAAUUGAAUUAAGCUUCAUAUAGGGUUGGCAAAUCUUUCUCCCCUCGGUCAAGCACCCAACGCCCUUACCAUAUUUAUUUUAGAACUAGUAGCUCUUGCCUUCCUACUCUUACGACCUUUAGUUUUGCUUUAUUGAAACAGCCCUUUCUCUUUCUUCUUUGUUUAGCGAAGUAGUACAAGCUGUGUGAAUCAAUACCCCUAGGAGGGAGGAGUGCUUCAACUUAUUAGCUAGAUAGCUAGGGUGAACGACGAAGCAGUUGCUUUUUUCUUUCUCUAAGAAAUCUCUAAUAAGCAAGCCCUUCUCGAAAGAAAGAGUUUACGCCAGGGUUCGGGAUUCGAUUCGGGCCCCAAUCGGGAGAGCAAGCAUCGAGAAGCAUCUGGCGACAGUUCCAUGUGAAAUAUCAUCAAAGGCAGAGACCUACAUUUUCAAAAAGGAUCUUUCCGGGGAAACCAUCGUCCCUAUAUGCUUAUAUGGAACCUCCGCCCUUACCUCAUCUGAAUCAGCCUAUGAUAGAGGGCUACCCCGAUGACGAGGCUCUCGUCGAUCAGCCACUCGAUCUUCGGAAUGAAAAAGAUCCACGAGUUCUCUACUUUUGUUAUAUCAAACAAAGGCAAAGGUGUAAGGUCCUAAAAUGAAUGGAUCCUAAUCCGCUUGGUCAACUUAAACCAUUGCGGCUUGCUCUGAUGCAUUCUAUCUGAUAGUUUGGUGUGUGGAUACUGAAGCCUUCAGUGUCCCGCAUCUAUUUUUUUGGUUUCAUACCAGGGGCUGAGGCAUAAGAAUAAGAGAUUCCAUAGAUUCCAAUUCCUUACGUUUGAGAGCCAGUACCUCGUAAGGAAUAUGAUAUCUUCCAUCCCCAGCGUAGAAAAUGGAAGUCAAGGCAAGAGUGGAAGGAGUGAAGAAAGAAGGAAGGGAUAGUUUAGUCAACGACCGAGAAAGCCCCUCAAAAUGUGCACAGAGUCGUUCCUAAGCGAGAGUCAACCGACCCACUAAACUAACUCCGAUUCGACUUCACGUCCACUUCCGUACCACCAUAUAAAAAUAUAUCCCGUACCCCGGAAAUGAAGGUAUAAGGGCUAGCCAAAACAAAAGAAGAGGCGGAUGUCAGGUCAGCCAAAGCCAAUCAAAUAGAAACUUUUGUUCUUGUUAGCUGGCAUAUAUCCAAUCCCACAUUUGAGUCUACAAUGUGGGUGUCCCUGGAAGAUGACUAUUGGCUUAGCUCAUCCUCUCUUCAGAGGAAAUAGAGUGAGUAGUAGGACUGGCCCCUCCCUUUAUAGGGAGUUCUAUGAUCCCCGAUAGUGAGUAAGCUCCGUCUCCGACUGGAUGAUAGAUGGCCCCCACUUUAUUUAUAAUAAUAAUUAAGGGCAUUAAAGCCGGGAGACCAUAGAAGGAUUGAUUCUCUGUCCUCGCUUAUAAUUAUACGGCCUUUCUUUUAUCAUUACUUUCUCGAUAAGCGGAUUGGUCUUGCCUAGGUUUAACAUGAAAGAUGAAAGAGUGAAUGUGAAUCGAGCUCAGACCUUUCUGGCAGUUCUCUGAUAAGAGAAAGCAGUGUAAGAUAUACCCGUGAAAAAAAAGUGACAUUGCCGAAAUCUUAUUUUUCUUUUCUUCUAGGCCCGAACUUCCUCUCUCUGAUUCCACUCUGCCUGUCUUCUUGUGGUCGGGUCAUUACUCCUUUUAAAAAGAAAGAAAGAAAAGGGAGACCCUCAUUCUACGAGAUAAAUCGAUUAACACUUUCCACGCGCACUCUCACGUCCGAGUUUGAGACUGCGAGUGUAAGAGAAAGCUAAAACGUCCAAGGAUUCAAAGGUUGAAGCUUUUAUAGAGUAUACACCCUAUUCUACUUGUCAAUCAUUUUGUUCAGCGGCAGAAGAUUAGACGGUGGAAGUCUACCCGAAAACAAAGCUCGAAUAGCUUGUGUAAGCAUUUGAUCUUCUAAAAAAUGAAUUGCAUAAAGCAUCUUUGAAGAACCAACCAGACCAAUGAGAGGAAUCUGCUCAUGUAUUGGACAUCCCUCUUUCCAAGUUGGUGCAUCGGCUAUCUUUUUAUAUGAAGAUAGAUAGAUUGGAAAAAGAAGUGUGCUCUUUUAUCGUGAAGUGAAUGGAAAUGUAGGGACAGUGAAUUUCAAGCAAUAGGGCUUAGCAUUGAAAGAUCCCAUAGGCAAGAGGUCGGCCCCAGCCGAAUAGAAAUAGAGAAAACUCUGCUUCCAGUUCUUUAUAGGAAGCAAGCGUAGGAAAGGAGGAGAAUGAAAUGCCCGGCCGCCUUAAAUAGGGGGAGAGGGCUUUCUAGAGUCAAUGCCUCUUCCAUAGUAAGGAUGGCUGACUACGAAAAAAUAGCUAUGAAAUGGCCGGUGCCAAUGGGGGACCGAUCAGCAGGUCAUACCUUUCAUUUCUAUCUCUUUUUAGGGCUAUAGUUAAAGUCGGUGUAAGAGGAGGGUCGGCUUACUGGGCUAUGUGUCUUGCUCAAGAAAUCAUCUAAAACAAACAAUUGAGCUUUUUCAGGCGGAAUCAGAGAGAGAGUCUAGCUAAAAUAAAACAUCAUCUGACCGGCCUAUCUUUAACUAUUCUAAGUGAGUUAUAAACAUAAUCUUCCCCUUCAGCCCGGAUUUUGGACAAGUCCAACCUCUGUUGAAUUCUCUUCUUUCUAAACAAGGUUUGUGCCUUCAUUUUCGGUAAGCUCACCUAUACAUACAUCUUCCCCGUCCCGCAGGCCUGAGACUGCGGAAGGACUCCAUCCAAUCUUGCUAUGGCUUGGAUAGUCUUCUUACCAUUAUAAGUGGCAAGACAUCAGGCUUGCUUUCUCUAGCCUUAGUGUAUACCUUAAUAAUUACCAUUACCGGAUAGAUAUCAGUAGGGAAGGAGUAUCUCACGUCAGCAGGAAAGGAAUAAGGAUUUUUUCCCAAGCAAGCCUGUUUUCAAGCUUUUACCGAGUUCUUGGCUUACUCAAUCUUCAAUAAAAUUCUAGCAAAUUCACUCAUGAACUAAUGGGUUAUUUCAUACAUUUGAAGUUCUCCUUUCUCUCGGUUCAAGCAGCGAGUUCCCUUACAUCAAAGGGGAUAUCCAGUUUACAGACUAAGAGUUGGAGGAGGACUCUUUUUGAGGGAUAUGAGUAACUCAGGCAAGGCCUAUUUAAAAUGAAUUUACAAUUUGCUAUUAAUAUAUAGCCCUCUUCUCAGGGUUGACUUUUUUUAUAGGAUCUAGAGUGGCAGUCUUUCUAUAUCCUAAGCCAUUCCCUUAGGUUGGAGUUAGAGAGUAGGUAAUACGUUACAAAUGAAUCUCUAUCCCUUUAUUCUGUUAUUUAUAAUAUAUUGCUUCUAUCUUCCUUUAUAAAGUCGAUACGCGCCAAUAGGUAUGGUUCAGACAUCCAUACGAUCGAAUGCAGUUCCUGUCAGUGAGAAAAGGAGGCUUGAAAGC